rnacentral:lncRNA from 1 species
GCCUACAAAAUAACCUCUAGACGAUCUCCAAGGUACAUGCGCAUAAUCUCUUUCAACACUUUUUUUCUUUUAUUUUCUUGAGAUCUGACUUGAACAUCGAAGGAUCUCUGUCAGAACCAACUUCGAUCAGGACUUGCCUUGCAGGUCACAUCCUCAGAAAGGUGCACCAUCGCUCCAGCUACUCCUAUCGAGUUUCAGAUUUCAGCGGUAAUAAAUAUAUUUUAUAAAAUAAAUUAAGGAUUUUUCGAUAUUAUAUGAUUGAUGAUUUUGGAUUUCGAUAAAAUACUAAAUAGAUUACUUAUGGAUAC